rnacentral:rRNA from 1 species
UACAGAGGGUGCGAGCGUUAAUCGGAAUUACUGGGCGUAAAGGGCGCGUAGGCGGUUGAUUAAGCUGUGUGUGAAAGAAUUGGGCUUAACCUAAUAAAGCAGACAGAACUGAUUGACUGGAGUGAAGUAGAGGUGAUAGGAAUUUCCGGAGUAGCGGUGAAAUGCGUAGAUACCGGAAAGAACACCAGAGGCGAAGGCGAGUCACUGGACUUUAACUGACGCUGAGGCGCGAAAGCGUGGGGAGCAAACAGG